rnacentral:rRNA from 1 species
GUGAUAGAUGAACUCCUGGAUGAACUACAUGGUGCUCAAUGGUUUACAAAGGUGGAUCUUAGAGCUGAAUAUCAUCAAAUUAGAUUAGCUCCUGGAGAAGAGUACAAGACAACAUUUCAAACCCACCAUGGGCAUUUUGAAUUCCUGGUUGUUGGUUUUGGGUUGACAGGGGCACCCAACACCUUCCAAGGUGCCAUAAAUGUUUCCCUAUCACAAGAGCCUGAAAUGCUGAGGACCUUUGUACUAGCCUACUUUGAUGAUAUUCUGAUUUUCAGUAAAACAAUGAAACAACACUUAUAA